KAACGACUCUCGGCAACGGAUAUCUCGGCUCUCGCAUCGAUGAAGAACGUAGCGAAAUGCGAUACUUGGUGUGAAUUGCAGAAUCCCGUGAACCAUCGAGUCUUUGAACGCAAGUUGCGCCCGAGGCCUCCUGGUCGAGGGCACGUCUGCCUGGGUGUCACGC
rnacentral:rRNA from 1 species